rnacentral:rRNA from 1 species
GCCCAGACUCCUACGGGAGGCAGCAGUGGGGAAUAUUGCACAAUGGGGGAAACCCUGAUGCAGCGACGCCGCGUGAGUGAAGAAGUAUUUCGGUAUGUAAAGCUCUAUCAGCAGGGAAGAAAAUGACGGUACCUGACUAAGAAGCCCCGGCUAACUACGUGCCAGCAGCCGCGGUAAUACGUAGGGGGCAAGCGUUAUCCGGAUUUACUGGGUGUAAAGGGAGCGUAGACGGCAGUGCAAGUCCGGAGUGAAAGCCCGGGGCUCAACCCUGGGACUGCUCUGGAAACUGUAAAGCUGGAGUGCGGGAGGGGCAGGCGGAAUUCCUGGUGUAGCGGUGAAAUGCGUAGAUAUCAGGAGGAACACCGGCGGCGAAGGCGGCCUGCUGGACCGUAACUGACGUUGAGGCUCGAAAGUGCGGGGAUCGAACAGGAUUAGAUACCCCAGUA